rnacentral:rRNA from 1 species
AUUGAACGCUGGCGGCAGGCCUAACACAUGCAAGUCGAACGGUAACAGGAAGUGCUUGCACUUCGCUGACGGGUGGCGGACGGGUGAGUAAUGCUUGGGAACUUGCCUUUGCGAGGGGGAUAACAGUUGGAAACGACUGCUAAUACCGCAUAAUGUCUACGGACCAAACGGGGCUUUUAGCUCCGGCGCAAAGAGAGGCCCAAGUGAGAUUAGCUAGUUGGUAAGGUAACGGCUUACCAAGGCGACGAUCUCUAGCUGUUCUGAGAGGAAGAUCAGCCACACUGGGACUGAGACACGGCCCAG